rnacentral:rRNA from 1 species
CCAGUGGUGGUGGUGGGGGAAAGAAUGGCAAGUCGAACGCGUUGGCCCAAUUGAUUGAUGGUGCUUGCACCUGAUUGAUUUUGGUCGCCAACGAGUGGCGGACGGGUGAGUAACACGUAGGUAACCUGCCCAGAAGCGGGGGACAACAUUUGGAAACAGAUGCUAAUACCGCAUAACAGCGUUGUUCGCAUGAACAACGCUUAAAAGAUGGCUUCUCGCUAUCACUUCUGGAUGGACCUGCGGUGCAUUAGCUUGUUGGUGGGGUAACGGCCUACCAAGGCGAUGAUGCAUAGCCGAGUUGAGAGACUGAUCGGCCACAAUGGGACUGAGACACGGCCCAUACUCCUACGGGAGGCAGCAGUAGGGAAUCUUCCACAAUGGGCGCAAGCCUGAUGGAGCAACACCGCGUGAGUGAAGAAGGGUUUCGGCUCGUAAAGCUCUGUUGUUAAAGAAGAACACGUAUGAGAGUAACUGUUCAUACGUUGACGGUAUUUAACCAGAAAGUCACGGCUAACUACGUGCCAGCAGCCGCGGUAAUACGUAGGUGGCAAGCGUUAUCCGGAUUUAUUGGGCGUAAAGAGAGUGCAGGCGGUUUUCUAAGUCUGAUGUGAAAGCYUUCGGCUUAACCGGAGAAGUGCAUCGGAAACUGGAUAACUUGAGUGCAGAAGAGGGUAGUGGAACUCCAUGUGUAGCGGUGGAAUGCGUAGAUAUAUGGAAGAACACCAGUGGCGAAGGCGGCUACCUGGUCUGCAACUGACGCUGAGACUCGAAAGCAUGGGUAGCGAACAGGAUUAGAUACCCUGGUAGUCCAUGCCGUAAACGAUGAGUGCUAGGUGUUGGAGGGUUUCCGCCCUUCAGUGCCGGAGCUAACGCAUUAAGCACUCCGCCUGGGGAGUACGACCGCAAGGUUGAAACUCAAAGGAAUUGACGGGGGCCCGCACAAGCGGUGGAGCAUGUGGUUUAAUUCGAAGCUACGCGAAGAACCUUACCAGGUCUUGACAUCUUGCGCCAACCCUAGAGAUAGGGCGUUUCCUUCGGGAACGCAAUGACAGGUGGUGCAUGGUCGUCGUCAGCUCGUGUCGUGAGAUGUUGGGUUAAGUCCCGCAACGAGCGCAACCCUUGUUACUAGUUGCCAGCAUUAAGUUGGGCACUCUAGUGAGACUGCCGGUGACAAACCGGAGGAAGGUGGGGACGACGUCAGAUCAUCAUGCCCCUUAUGACCUGGGCUACACACGUGCUACAAUGGACGGUACAACGAGUCGCGAACUCGCGAGGGCAAGCAAAUCUCUUAAAACCGUUCUCAGUUCGGACUGCAGGCUGCAACUCGCCUGCACGAAGUCGGAAUCGCUAGUAAUCGCGGAUCAGCAUGCCGCGGUGAAUACGUUCCCGGGCCUUGUACACACCGCCCGUCACACCAUGAGAGUUUGUAACACCCAAAGUCGGUGGGGUAACCUUUUAGGAGCCAGCCGCCUAAGGUGGGACAGAUGAUUAGGGUGAAGUCGAAUCAAUUAUGCCCUCAAU